CACCCUUGUUCACCACAUCAAACUGCUUCUGCCCUUCCUCUAUUGGAAUGUUCUCCACCUUCAUCUCCUCCAACCUCUGCCCAUUUCAUCUCAACUCAAUUAGUUAAAUAAUUAGCAAGUGGCCCUUUACCGUGAAAAGGUGUCCUCCAACCUCUGCCCAUUUCAUCUCAACUCAAUUAGUUAAAUAAUUAGCAAGUGGCCCUUUACCGUGAAAAGGUGUUGAACCCUUACAUUAUCCAAUAUUUAAUCUAACAAAAUCUAUUGUUUGACCUAAAAAAAAUUGAUUAAAUAAUGGGAAAUUUUAUUUGAACCCAUAUAACCACUUUUUACACCCAACUUAAACUUUAAAUGUUAAUUGUCUUUUUUACCCUAGGACAUAAUUACCAUCAAGUACAAGAUGAAUUUAACAAUACAACUAAAAUUUAUCAAUAAACCCAAACAAACACCAAAGGGCAAACAAAUCUACAACAGCAGCAAUGGGAGAUGCCAUAGUGCUGAGAUCGUCCAGGGGAGAUGUCAUAGUUCUAAGGUCAAACAAAUCAAAUGACAUGCAGAAGAGGAUUCUAUGGCUCGUUCGUUUGUCUGCUCAUGGACUUGUACUAGGAUAUUUCUUAUGACAUAUCGGACAGAACAACCAUGAAUCGUUUAAGUUGAAAAUGCCGAGGCUUGGAAAUCUUGGGGCAGUUGGAGCUUUGAAGAGAAUAAUUAUCUCUUUGAUCCAACUCACCAUCACAAACAUAUAUGAUAUAUCCUCCU
rnacentral:lncRNA from 1 species